rnacentral:lncRNA from 1 species
UAGAUUUUUAUUAGUUUGAAAGUAGCUCAUGUGCCUAAAAGAAGUGAGAACAAAGUCAAUAAUCACAUAUGAUGUGAUUUCGAUGUUACCUUGUUCUGUAAUUCUAGUUGUACUAGAAUAUUUGAUCGGUACAGAUUGAAACUACACAUAAACAAAUAAAGAUUGAAGAUGUUAUGCAUACAAACCUGUCUGCAAUCUGUAACCAACCUAACGAACAAUGACCAACACUCAGCAGUUUGUAAAAAUCUAGUACUGCUAGUAAUAACUUAGCAUCGACAUGAGCGGUAAGCCGGUAAUAUAUAAUGUACAGAUGUAGUACCUCUGAUCUCGCGUGAGUCAUAUUGUGCAGCCUAGAGUGUGAAAUCUGAAACGCCUAGUACAUGGAGAUCAUGAGAUUAGCGCACACACAGAUUGCAGGCAACGCAGGGUGAGGGACGGCGAUCCGAUCUGACAUGAAGCGCCAUCAGCUGCUGGCGAUG